rnacentral:ribozyme from 13 species
UUUUUUUUUUUUUUUUUUUUUUUUUUUGACCCUCACCUGUUGAAGCGGUCACCUCUCUGAAA